rnacentral:rRNA from 1 species
UACGUAGGGGGCAAGCGUUAUCCGGAUUUACUGGGUGUAAAGGGAGCGUAGACGGUGCAGCAAGUCUGAUGUGAAAGGUCGGGGCCCAACCCCGGGACUGCAUUGGAAACUGUUGAACUGGAGUACAGGAGAGGUAAGUGGAAUUCCUAGUGUAGCGGUGAAAUGCGUAGAUAUUAGGAGGAACACCAGUGGCGAAGGCGGCUUACUGGACUGUAACUGACGUUGAGGCUCGAAAGCGUGGGGAGCAAACAGG